AGAAACACACCUGAUGCUGACAGUGUGUGCAGCUGGGAGUCAUGAUGCUGAUCAGGACUGUGUUUGUGCUGAGAGGAUGAACUGUGUCCUGAAGGUCCAGAUGUUGAACCGUCAUCAGCAGCUGCUGUGUCCAGACUCUGACUGGGCCAUGUUCCUGGGAGGUGGAGAGCUUCAUGCAGCAGUGACUGACAGGAAUCACAGGUGGAGAUGAGUGUCAGUGCUGCAGUGUGAACUGCUCUGAGAACAGCUGCAGCGUCAGUCACCAGGUGGAGUCCAGCAUGAUGGAAUGAUGGAGAACUGCAGUUGUUGUUGACGUUUUACCUUUCCGAUGUGCAGAGUUUCCUGUCUGUCCAGGGUUAUAUUUCUGUUUGCUUUCUAUUCACAGUUCUAAUUAUUCAGCCCCUCUACCUGCACAACAUUCAGGUGAUUCCAGCUAAAGCCUUGGCAAACAAAAGCACUUGUUAGAUGUUAAUCUCACUAAUUACCCUCAGUAUACACUUUUCUCCACAUCGGUCCAGGAGCAUUAUUGUUUGUUACAGAGUUGAUAUUUACUCAGAACAUUAUUUGACAUUUUAGAGCUCCAGUAAGUGUUUGUAGUUGUGGGACUGAACAACAUGCGACAGAAAUCAUGGUGGUGUUAUUGUGACAGGUAUUAUGAUUGAGGUAUGAGUCACUGUUUUAUUGGGAAUAAUCAUUUUUUCAUUUUCUUUCGCUGAAAAAAAUACUGAAAUGAUGAUCAGAUUUUUCCUGCGUCCUCUACCAAACACAUGUUCCUUUAAAUAUAUGAUUUGUAGCGCUGCGGCACUUCAUGUGUAAUAGUAACUAACUGCUGCUCCUGUCAUCUGGAUGUUGCACGUGUUCAGCCCUGUCAGGUUGUUUUCUGUUUUUAAAUAUCAGCUUGUUCCUCGUGUGCUGAAGCUUCCAGUUUACUGAUAUUGUUUGGUGUCUGAGCUGCUGCUGCUUUCUGUAAAUCCCCCCAAAGAUUUGUAAAUCCAGGACUGAGACGCCUCCUCCAGGACUUUCCUCGAACGACUCCAGCAAUGUUUUUCCUCUAACCCAGCUGGUGUUUCAAAGAAUCCAUGACGCUGCUCAAACAAUCAGCAGUGUAGCAGCGUCUGCGGCAGCAAAACCUUCUCAACAGGAGCGUCAGGAUGCUGUCCUUCUGACUGCUGACGAAACGCUGAUCCACAAGUCCAAACAUGUCAAGGUUAGACUCGCAGAACUCGACAGGCACAUCCACGUUCAAAUCAACUUUUAGGAGCUCUCUGGUCAAGAUCGGAGGUUCUUCCUGCAGCUGUUUGUUAGAGUCGUAUCUAGAACGUCAGGGUUUCUUUGCCCUGUGCUCAGACUCAGAGGCUCAUUCAUUCUGGCUGCGUGCCGCUCUGCUGCUCUAUACCUCAGUAGUUAUGCCUCCUGUGAGCCAUCAGGUGGCGCUAUUCUCCAGAGGCUUUGAGGGCACACCACACUGUAGAGUAUAUGUCAACAAGUUACAUUUGCUGAGUUUGUGGGUCGCUGAGCAAAAACUUUCAUGAUGCCUUGCAGGCGGCACAACACAACAUUUGUCUGACACAACUCAACAUAAUUCAAUAAAGUGUGUUGUGCAACAG